rnacentral:rRNA from 1 species
GACGAACGCUGGCGGCGUGCCUAAUACAUGCAAGUUGAGCGAUGAAGAUUGGUGCUUGCACCAAUUUGAAGAGCAGCGAACGGGUGAGUAACGCGUGGGGAAUCUGCCUUUGAGCGGGGGACAACAUUUGGAAGCGAAUGCUAAUACCGCAUAACAACUUUAAACAUAAGUUUUAAGUUUGAAAGAUGCAAUUGCAUCACUCAAAGAUGAUCCCGCGUUGUAUUAGCUAGUUGGUGAGGUAAAGGCUCACCAAGGCGAUGAUACGUAGCCGACCUGAGAGGGUGAUCGGCCACAUUGGGACUGAGACACGGCCCAAACUCCUACGGGAGGCAGCAGUAGGGAAUCUUCGGCAAUGGACGAAAGUCUGACCGAGCAACGCCGCGUGAGUGAAGAAGGUUUUCGGAUCGUAAAACUCUGUUGGUAGAGAAGAACGUUGGUGAGAGUGGAAAGCUCAUCAAGUGACGGUAACUACCCAGAAAGGGACGGCUAACUACGUG